rnacentral:rRNA from 1 species
UACGGAGGGUGCAAGCGUUAAUCGGAAUUACCGGGCGUAAAGCGUGCGCAGGCGGUUUGUUAAGUCCGUUGUGAAAGCCCCGAGCUCAACUUGGGAGUUGCAGUGGAUACUGGCAGGCUGGAGUACGGUAGAGGAAGGUGGAAUUCCCGGUGUAGCAGUGAAAUGCGUAGAUAUCGGGAGGAACACCAGUGGCGAAGGCGGCCUUCUGGACCAGUACUGACGCUCAUGCACGAAAGCGUGGGGAGCAAACAGG